UACGAGGGGGGCAAGUGUUGUUCGGAAUCACUGGGCGUAAAGGGAGCGUAGGCGGGAGCCUAAGUUGGGUGUUUAAUUCCGGGGCCCAACCCCGGGCAGGCACUCAAAACUGGGUUUCUUGAAUAGGGGAGAGGUCGGUGGAAUUGGAGGUGUAGCGGUGGAAUGCGUAGAGAUCUCCAAGAACACCAGUUGCGAAGGCGGCCGACUGGACCCAUAUUGACGCUGAGGCUCGAAAGCAUGGGGAGCAAACAGG
rnacentral:rRNA from 1 species